rnacentral:rRNA from 1 species
UAGUCCACGCCGUAAACGAUGAGAACUAGCCGUUGGGGUCCUUGAGACCUUGGUGGCGCAGCUAACGCGAUAAGUUCUCCGCCUGGGGAGUACGGCCGCAAGGUUAAAACUCAAAUGAAUUGACGGGGGCCCGCGACAAGCGGUGGAGCAUGUUGUUUAAUUCGAUGCAACGCGAAGAACCUUACCACCCCUUGACAUCCUCGGAACUUUCUAGAGAUAGAUUGGUGACCUUCGGGAACCGAGUGACAGGUGCUGCAUGGCUGUCGUCAGCUCGUGUCGUGAGAUGUUGGGUUAAGUCCCGUAACGAGCGCAACCCUUGUCCUUAUUUGCCAGCACAUAAUGGUGGGAACUCUAAGGAGACUGCCCGGUNACGGGGAAACCGAGGAAGGUGGGGACGACGUCAAGUCAUCAUGGCCCUUACGGGGUGGGCUACAAACGUGCUACAAUGGGGGUACAAAGGGCGGCGAACCUGCAAAGGUAAGCGAAUCCCGAAAAAACCUCUCGUAGUCCGGAUUGGGGUCUGCAACUCGACCCCAUCGAAGUCGG